UACGGAGGAUCCGAGCGUUAUCCGGAUUUAUUGGGUUUAAAGGGUGCGCAGGCGGGGAUUAAGUCGGCGGUGAAAUUUUGCAGCUCAACUGUAAAAGUGCCUUCGAAACUGGUUUCCUUGAGUGUAGAUGAAGUAGGCGGAAUUUGUGGUGUAGCGGUGAAAUGCAUAGAUAUCACGAGGAACUCCGAUUGCGCAGGCAGCUUACUAAACUACUACUGACGCUCAGGCACGAAGGCGUGGGGAGUCAAACAGGGAUUAGAUACCCGGUAGUCCCUGA
rnacentral:rRNA from 1 species